GACGAACGCUGGCGGCGUGCCUAAUACAUGCCAGUAGAACGCUGAAGAGAGGAGCUUACUCUUCUUGGAUGAGUUGCGAACGGGUGAGUAACGCGUAGGUAACCUGCCUUGUAGCGGGGGAUAACUAUUGGAAACGAUAGCUAAUACCGCAUAACAAUGGAUGACACAUGUCAUUUAUUUGAAAGGGGCAAUUGCUCCACUACAAGAUGGACCUGCGUUGUAUUAGCUAGUAGGUGAGGUAAUGGCUCACCUAGGCGACGAUACAUAGCCGACCUGAGAGGGUGAUCGGCCACACUGGGACUGAGACACGGCCCAGACUCCUACGGGAGGCAGCAGUAGGGAAUCUUCGGCAAUGGGGGCAACCCUGACCGAGCAACGCCGCGUGAGUGAAGAAGGUUUUCGGAUCGUAAAGCUCUGUUGUAAGUCAAGAACGGGUGUGAGAGUGGAAAGUUCACACUGUGACGGUAGCUUGCCAGAAAGGGACGGCUAACUACGUG
rnacentral:rRNA from 1 species